rnacentral:rRNA from 1 species
UACGAAGGGGCCUAGCGUUGCCCGGAUUGACUGGGCGUAAAGGGCGCGUAGCCGGUUUGUCAAGUCAGGCGUGAAAUUCCCGGGCUCAACCUGGGGGCUGCGCUUGAGACGUGCGAUCUUGAGUGGGGAAGAGGGUCGUGGAAUUCCCAGUGUAGAGGUGAAAUUCGUAGAUAUUGGGAAGAACACCGGUGGCGAAGGCGGCGACCUGGUCCUUGACUGACGCUGAGGCGCGAAAGCGUGGGGAGCAAACAGG